AGAGUUUGAUCCUGGCUCAGGACGAACGCUGGCGGUGCGCCUAAUGCAUGCAAGUCGAACGGGCAAAGGGGCUUCGGUCCCUGCGCUAGUGGCAGACGGCUGAGUAACACGUAAGUGAUCUGCCCCGGAGCGGGGGACAAUCCGGAGAAAUCCGGCCUAAUACCCCGUAAGUUCAGGUGGUUACGGCCAUGUGAAGAAAGACUUCGGUCGCUCUGGGAGGAGCUUGCGGCCUAUCAGGUAGUUGGCGGGGUAAUGGCCCACCAAGCCGAAGACGGGUAGCCGAUGUGAGAGCAUGAUCGGUCAGAGGGGGACUGAGACACGGCCCCCACUCCUACGGGAGGCAGCAGCAGGGAAUCUUGCGCAAUGGGCGAAAGCCUGACGCAGCGACACCGCGUGGGGGAAGAAGGCCUCAGGGUUGUAAACCCCUUUUCUGGGGGAAGAGAUAGGACGGUACCUCAGGAAUAAGCAUCGGCUAACUACGUGCCAGCAGCCGCGGUAAUACGUAGGAUGCAAGCGUUGUCCGGAUUUACUGGGCGUAAAGGGUGUGUAGGCGGCAUGUUAAGUCUCAUGUGAAAUCUCCCGGCUCAACUGGGAGGGGUCAUGGGAAACUGGCAAGCUGGAGGGCAGCAGAGGAAAGCGGAAUUCCGGGAGUAGUGGUGGAAUGCGUAGAUACCCGGAGGAACACCAGAGGCGAAGGCGGCUUUCUGGGCUGUACCUGACGCUGAUACACGAAAGCGUGGGGAGCAAACCGGAUUAGAUACCCGGGUAGUCCACGCCCUAAACGAUGGAUACUAGAUAUAGGGGGUAUCGACCCCUCCUGUGUCGGAGUUAACGCGAUAAGUAUCCCGCCUGGGGAGUACGGCCGCAAGGCUAAAACUCAAAGGAAUUGACGGGUCCCCGCACAAGCGGCGGAGCGUGUGGUUUAAUUCGAUGAUAAGCGAAGAACCUUACCUGGGCUUGACAUGCAUUUGACAGCCCGUGAAAACGGGUCUUCUUUCGAGACAAAUGCACAGAUGUUGCAUGGCUGUCGUCAGCUCGUGCCGUGAGGUGUUGGGUUAAGUCCCGCAACGAGCGCAACCCUCGUCGUUAGUUACUAUGUCUAGCGAGACUGCUCCUAAAAGGGGAGAGGAAGGUGGGGACGACGUCAAGUCGGCACGGCUCUUACGCUCAGGGCUACACACACGCUACAAUGGUCGGAACAGAGGGUCGCGAUGGCGCGAGCCGGAGCUAAUCCCAAAAAUCCGGCCUCAGUUGGAAUUGCAGGCUGAAACCCGCCUGCAUGAACGCGGAGUCGCUAGUAAUCGCAGGUCAGCACACUGCGGUGAAUACGUUCCCGGGGAUUGUACACACCGCCCGUCACGUCAUGGAAGUCGGUAACACUUGAAGUCGCUGGGCUAACCGCAAGGAGGCAGGCGCCGAGGGUGGGACUGGUGACUGGGACGAAGUCGUAACAAGGUAGCUGUACCGGAAGGUGCGGCUGGAUCACCUCCUUUCU
rnacentral:rRNA from 1 species